rnacentral:lncRNA from 1 species
UUUUUUUUUUUUUUGGAGACAGAGUCUUGCUCUGUCACCCAGGCUGGAUCUCAGCUCACUGCAACCUCUGCCUCCUGGGUUUAAGCGAUCCUCCCACCUCAGCCUCCCCAGUAGCUGGGACUACAGGCACCCACCACCGCUCCUAGCUGUAAGGUUUUUUUUGUAUUUUUAGUAGAGAGGGGUUUUACCAUGUUGACCAGGCUGGUCUCGAACUCCUGACCUCAGGUGAUCCACCUGCCUCGGCCUCCCAAAGUGGUGGGAUUACAGGCGUGAGCCACCACGCCCAGGCUUCCUUCCAAGUUCUUAAGGUGCAUGCCGAGCAAAUUAAUGUUCUACCUUCUUUUCCAAUAUGACUAUCAAAAGAUACACGAGUUCAAUUGAAAAAAAUAUAUAUAUAUAUAAAUUUCCCUUUGUAUAUCUUCUUUUAUUGCAACAUACAGAUUUUGAUAUGUAGUUUUUCUAGAAUUAUUUAGUUCUAAGCGUUUUAAGAUUUUGGUUGUAAUUUCUCCUUGCACCUGUGAGUUGUUUAGAAGUUUGUUAUUAAGUUUCCAAACAUAGAAGUUUGUAUAAUGUUACUUUUGGUGUGUAUUUUUCCCCUUGUGAAGAACUUACAAGGAGUGGAAAUUUGAUUUGACUGUAUUUCACUGCAUCAUUAGGACUUGAAAGUUCUCAUGGUAGGGUUUUAUUACAGGUUAAUUUCAGUUUAACAGUAAUGUUUUCAAUACUUAUUUAAUAUGCUUGAAGACUUCUUAAGUAAAAAUUCCUAAGUAAAAUCUUAAGUAAAAAUUCUAAGAGGAAGUAAGAACCCCAGCACCCUAUUGUGAGGUUAGAAGAAUAAGAAAGGGAGUCUGGACUAAUUUUAAACAGAAAGAGGAGAAUUUCACUGUGGUGGGGAAAUAUAGUAAAGAUAAAACUCCCCCUUUUUUGGUUUCUUUGUAAUUCAAAUUGGGUGAUCAUAUGCAGGAACUUAGUUCUCAUUAAUGAGUAACAUAUAUAGGGAAACAUGCAAAUCCAUGCAGGCUCCUUGAUCAGAGGCAUAGUUAGUGAAAUACAUCAGUGGUUCUGCUGUCUGACUUGUUUCUGCUUCUCUCUGUUUGCUUUUAUAGGUAGAAGAAGUGAAAAAGCACCAACACUGUUUAGCAUUUAGCUCCUCUGGACCCCAAAGCCAGACUUACUACAUUUGCUUUGAUACUUUCACAGAAUACUUAAGGUGGCUGCGACAAGUCUCCAAGGUAAGCAAGCACUUAAUCCAGGAAUCCACUCAGCUUCUAGCUGGCUACAAAGUUCCUUUCUGCUUUAGCUGGGUCUAAAAUAUGGUUAGUUACACACACUUUUUUUUUCCUCCCCAGAUACUGCCAGUGAUUAGCAAUUUUUAGUUUUUUAAAAACUAAUUUUGCCUGAAAAGUGGCUUUUUAAAAAUUGUUUUUUACUUGCCCAGUUUAUACUUAAAAAUAAAUUGGUCUGUAAACAGGCAUUACUAUCUUAAUGUUGUAGAUAAAAAACAUGAGAUUGGGAAUAUUUGAGGGACUGACCCAGGCUAAGACAACUAUAAAACCACAAAAUACCCAGAGAAUUGUUACAAAUUUCCCUUCUUUCUCUGACUGUUUUUUCAUAUAAAUAGUCUAAUAUUAUACCAUCUCCCCUUCACCUUUAUUCUGCCUUUUCAGUGAUUUAAUUUUUUAUCUUAUUUUGGCCAUUUUAUAUUCCUCUGAUUUAAUAAGAUCACCAUGUCCCAUGAAAUAAUAUAUAGUACUUUUGGCCAGGCACACUGGCUCACUCCUGUAAUCCCAGCACUUUGGAAGGCUGAGACAGGCAGAUCACUUGAGUUCAGGAGUUUGAGACCAGCCUGGCCAAAAUGGUGAAACCCCAUCUCUACUAAAAAUACAAAAAAAUUAGCCAGGCAUGAUGGUACGCACCUGUAGUCCCAGAUACUUGGGAGGCUGAGGCACGAAAAUUGCGAACUGGGAAGGUGGAGGUUGCAAUGAGCCGAGAUUGCACCAUUACACUACAGCCUUGGUGACAGAGUGAGACUCUGACUUAAAAAAAAAAUAUAUAUAUAUGUAUAUAUAUAAUAUAAUAUAUAAUUAUAUAUAAUAUAUAUUUUAUAAUAUAUAUAUAUAAUAUCUAGUGCUUUUGUGUUUAAUGUAAACCAGAAUCACAUUAUAAAUAAGACAAAUAAAUGCUGAUAUUUCAGGUAA